rnacentral:lncRNA from 1 species
GGACUUUCUGGGCUUUGCGUGCCAAGGAUCCCCCUUGGUGGCUGCUAUGCCAUCCUGGCUGCUCUCCAGAUACUUGCGGGUGUCACAGGACAGGCGGACUGACAGCCCAAUGACGUCACCGUGUGCCAGUCAUCCUAGGGGCUUCCUGACCUGGUGGCAUCCCAGGAAGAUCCAACACAAGCAGCAGCUCAGUGGUCACAUUAGGAGGGGAGACCUUAGGACCGAACACCAUGAGGGCAAGUUCUUUUCAACACAUGCGGCCCCAACUCCUUUAGCCCCUGCAAGUGCAGAGUGGUUCUGCUGGUGGCCUGUCUAAUGUGCCCUCUGGACACUCCUGCUCCUUCCAGGGCCCUGGACCCAGCUGUCACUAACCUGCCAGCACCCUGCAGUACCGCUAGGCGGCGCUGCCUGCAGUUGGUCGCACCAGGCAGGCCUAGUGCCAGAACACCCUGCCUCCUGGCGCCAGCCCGCUGUGGACUCUGCAGGUGCAGCGAACCUGGGAGGGCUGGAGGGCUGGGAGCACUAGGAGGACGCGAGGAUCAACACAGGUAGCACCAGCCCCAGCGGCAUUGCCCUCCCAUCCUGCUCCUCCAGGUCCUGGCCCCGCUGAAAGUUGGCCCAGUCAGCGAAUUUGCCUGGGUUCCCAGCAGCCCUAGGGAGCGGCCACUGUGGACACAUGAGGGCAGUGGAGCAUCCAAAGCAGCUGGGCGGGUUAUGGGAACUUUGAGCUCCACCACCUCCUACCACCGGGUGCCCCUCCAUUCCCAGAAAGCCAAUUCUGGAGAUCAUUGCAACCUGGGCAGAAUGAAGGCUAAGGGCAGGUGGGUGGAUCUGUUGCUUUUUAGUGAGGGCAGCAGGGAGAGAGUACCUGAACAUGGGCGACAGAGGGAAGGAGC